rnacentral:rRNA from 1 species
AACGAACGCUGGCGGCAGGCCUAACACAUGCAAGUCGAGCGGGGGAGCAAUCCCUAGCGGCGGACGGGUUAGUAACGCGUGGGAACAUACCCUUUGGUACGGAAUAGCCUCGGGAAACUGAGAGUAAUACCGUAUGUGCCCUUCGGGGGAAAGAUUUAUCGCCAAAGGAUUGGCCCGCGUUGGAUUAGGUAGUUGGUGGGGUAAUGGCCUACCAAGCCUACGAUCCAUAGCUGGUCUGAGAGGAUGAUCAGCCACACUGGGACUGAGACACGGCCCAGACUCCUACGGGAGGCAGCAGUGGGGAAUAUUGGACAAAUGGGCAAAGCCUGAUCCAGCAAUGCCGNGUGAGUGAUGAAGGCCUUAGGGUUGUAAAGCUCUUUUACCCGAGAUGA